GUUUAUAUAAGAAAAAUAAAUUCUUUAAUUAUAGAAGUCUAUAUUACAAUUAUCAGUCAAGUUUCAUCAAAUACAGGUAAUCAAACAUCAAGUAACUUUCAACCACCAAAUAUACAUGCUACUCAUCAGAAAUACAUCGAGAGUUCAUGACUCAUGGGGGACUCGCGAGGUCCAUAUACUGACGCAGAUGAUCUUCAUGUGUCUGUGCGGACGAUCUCAACACACUAUCAUAUAAUCAACUAAUCCCCAGCACGGACGAUCUCCACGUGCCCAACUUAUAAUCAUAAUCAAUUACUCACACGGACAAUCUCUACGUGCCCAAAUUAUAAUCACAACUCGAUCUCAACACAGACGAUCUGCACGUGUUAGACCUUUACUCAUACUCAAUCUCAUGUGAAUGCAAAUACACAAUAUGAUAUCAAUUAAUGGGGAUGAUACAACAUCUCAAUAAAUCAAAUGUCUUUGUGACAUAUAAUCACUUCAGUCAUCACAAUUACACGGGUUAAAUAAAGGAACACAACCACACACAAAAAUCCAAGUCACUAAAUACUUCAGCUAAUACCCAUAUGCUUUGGCAUUCUCAAAUUACAGUAUACAUAUUAUAGCUAUAGAUUUUCCCUUUUAUAACAUUGGUACUCGUAUCAAUGCCCAUCAAAUCAUUGAUACGAGACGCCCACAUCUUUCGCCCUUAUCCCUUUGUAUAUUUCAUUUUUAAUCUUUAAUAAGGAAAACUUCCUUCAACAAGUCUGAAAGUCUUAACAUACCUCGAAUGGUGAACAUGUGUCAUAAAUCCUCAAGAUUAUGUCCUUCCCUUUCGCAAAGCCUCAACACGUUCACAAUCUAUCACAUAUGCAUGUUUCUUAAGUAAGUCGUUAUAUAGAAAUUCAUAUUGAUAUACAUCUAGCCUAGAUCCCGGAAUCAUUCUAAAAUCAUAGAGCACGAAUCUAUAGUCAAGUUUCUAAUCUUGUACCAACCAAUAUACCAAGUUUCAUAUUUUCUAACUUUCAAGUCUAUGACUAAGUCCUAAUUUCAUAAAAUAUCAAAAUUUUAAUAGUAUUGAUUUAAUACAAUAAAUCUAAUAUUUAAUUACUUGUCUUAAUAUAUCAAAACCUAAUAAUGAUGUAAUGAGAAUAAAGAUAAUUCAACGAGAAAUCAUAUUCCUACCUUGGAUGAUGAACCAAGGUGAAAAACAUAACAAAACUAUACUAAUCCAUCAUAAAUAAUGUCCUUAAUAAUUAACACUAUCACUGAACAUCAACAACAUCUUAAUACUACUUGCCGUCAAUGCUUGUUGUGACUAAAAUUUUGUCUUCUUGAUUGUGGGGCCUAUUUUAAGUCAAUUAUUUUACAACAGAAACACUUAAUGGCUAAAGCCACUUCCACCAAUUAAUGCUAAUGUACAAAUAUAUAUAUAUAUAUAUAUAUAUAUAUAUAUAUAUAUAUAUAUAUAUAUAUAUAUAUAUAUAUAUAUAUAUAUAUAUAUAUAUAUAUAUAUAUAUAAUAUAGCAUCUCAAAGAUCUCUUGAAAAGUUGAAUUUGAUAUAAUGGCCAAAAUAUAAAUGCAAACCAAACUAAUUCACCAAAAUUAAUAUCGUGGUUGGUCAAACAAUUGAACUCCUCUAGAUUAUGAAUUUAUAUUACUAUAUUAAAUGUAUAAAUCAACUUAUUAACCAAAAAUAAUAAUAAUAUAGAAUCUCUACUCAAUAAUAAGUCAAUAUUAAGUGUAAUUCUAAAGAAUUUUCAUAGAACCGACAAUUUCCAACAACACCCAACAAGUUUUUCCUUUAAAAUAAUAGUAAAUUAAAGUAUAUCUACUAAUUAGGAUUUAUUCUAGUAAGACAAAAAGUUGAACCACUUUACCUGAAGAAUUUUUUGUUUAAUUGUUGUCAAUGUUGAGAUCGACUUUUCUUCGAAAAUAUCAGCCGCAAUGGAUUUGCGUUAGAAGCAAAGAAGAAAAUAAGAAUAAAAUUUUUAGUUAAUUUAAUUUUAUACCUGGGCCAAAUAAGGGUUUUAAA
rnacentral:lncRNA from 1 species